CCUUGAGCAUGGACAGCCUGGAUCUGCUGGCAAAGAGCUCCUGGGAAGGUGCUGCUGGAUGCAGUUUGCAACCACCUCAACCUCGUGGAAGGUGACUAUUUUGGCCUCGAGUUUCCUGAUCACAAAAAGAUCACGGUGUGGCUGGAUCUCCUAAAACCCAUUGUGAAACAGAUUAGAAGGCCAAAGCAUGUUGUUGUUAAGUUUGUGGUGAAAUUCUUUCCGCCUGACCACACACAACUCCAAGAAGAACUCACAAGCUGAGAUUGGGGAUUUUGAUGAAGCCUUGGACAGAGAGCACUUAGCAAAAAAUAAAUACAUACCUCAGCAAGACGCACUAGAGGACAAAAUCGUGGAAUUUCACCAUAACCACAUUGGACAAACACCAGCAGAAUCAGAUUUCCAGCUCCUAGAGAUUGCCCGUCGGCUAGAGAUGUAUGGAAUCCGGUUGCACCCGGCCAAGGACAGGGAAGGCACGAAGAUCAAUCUGGCCGUUGCCAACACGGGAAUUCUAGUGUUUCAGGGUUUCACUAAGAUCAAUGCCUUCAACUGGGCCAAGGUGCGGAAGCUGAGCUUCAAGAGGAAGCGCUUUCUCAUCAAGCUCCGGCCAGAUGCCAAU
rnacentral:sRNA from 1 species